rnacentral:rRNA from 1 species
CCUACGGGAGGCAGCAGUGAGGAAUAUUGGUCAAUGGACGAGAGUCUGAACCAGCCAAGUAGCGUGAAGGAUGACUGCCCUAUGGGUUGUAAACUUCUUUUAUCUGGGAAUAAAAUGUUCCACGUGUGGGAUUUUGUAUGUACCAUAUGAAUAAGGAUCGGCUAACUCCGUGCCAGCAGCCGCGGUAAUACGGAGGAUCCGAGCGUUAUCCGGAUUUAUUGGGUUUAAAGGGAGCGUAGGCGGAUUGUUAAGUCAGUUGUGAAAGUUUGCGGCUCAACCGUAAAAUUGCAGUUGAAACUGGCAGUCUUGAGUACAGUAGAGGUGGGCAGAAUUCGUGGUGUAGCGGUGAAAUGCUUAGAUAUCACGAAGAACUCCGAUUGCGAAAGCAGUUCACUGGACUGCAACUGACACUGAGGCUCGAAAGUGUGGGUAUCAAACAGGAUUAGAUACACUAGUC